UACGAAGGACCCGAGCGUUAUCCGGAUUUAUUGGGUUUAAAGGGUGCGUAGGCGGAUUUACAAGUCAGUGGUGAAAUCUCCCAGCUUAACUGGGAAACUGCCAUUGAAACUGUUUAUCUUGAGUACAUUUGAGGCGGGCGGAAUGUGUCAUGUAGAGGUGAAAUUCUUAGAUAUGACACAGAACACCAAUUGCGAAGGCAGCUCGCUAAACUGUAACUGACGCUGAGGCACGAAAGUGUGGGGAUCAAACAGG
rnacentral:rRNA from 1 species